AACACGACCGCGAUGAGCAAGGCCGCGUGACGAUGAUGAUGGUGAGGAUGAUGAUGGUGAUGAUGAUGGUGAAGAAGGAGAAGCUGGCGGUGGAUAGGCAACACGAAGGGCAGUCGUCCCUCUCUUCGCUCCGCCAGCAGCAACAGCAGCAGGAGGCCGGGCGAGUGUCAAGCCCCAUCACAGCGGGACUGCGACGGGACGUCACGACGUGGUACCAUUAGAAUAGGAGAAUAAGUUUAUAU